UUGGCAUGGCAGUUUCCAGUAAGAUGAAGAUUCAGUUAGGAGUCCUAGGCUCCACCUCAGCACUUAGAAAGUACAUGUGAGGGAGGAAUCUGGAUACUGACAGCUUCUGGGUAGCAGCUCCUUUCAACACAGAGGACUCACAGUUAUCUCACCCCUCUCCUCAGCAGAUGGUCUCCUUCUCAUUCCACUUUGCUUUGAGAAAUACUCUUUACAGUCCUGCUGGCGGACUAGGGUACUUGCUUUGCACAGGCUUAGCUGUCCUGGGCAUGUCAGGGGCUGAGAUCUCCGAGUUGUUACUAGCAUCUACUGCUUGUUUUUCUCAGUUCUGGCUAAAGCUUGGGCCUCUCUUCUCUUAACUGAGCCCCAGAAAACUGCUGUCCCUUGCUCGAUUGCUAGGCACUCAACUGAUGAAAAAGUUUAUUUUUUUCUUUCCUUCCUUCUUUCUUUGUUUCUUUCCUUUUUUUCUGUGUAGCUCUGGCUGUCCUGGAACUUACUCUAUAGACCAGGCUGGUCUCAAAAUCAGAGAUCCUCCUGCCUCUGCCUCCUGAGUGCUUCAUUAAAGGCUAUGCCACUACACCUGGGAACAUAGUUUCUAAGAAAGCUUCUUGUCUUUUCAUUUGGCAGGUAUCAUGUUCAUUUGUUGUUUUGUGUUGUUUUACUUUGGUUGUGUAGACAGGGUCUCGCUGUGGAGCCCAGGAUGGUCAUAACUCCCAGCAGUCUUCCUGCCGCAGCUUUCCAGGGGCUGGAUUUUCAGUCAUGAACCAUUGAGUCUGGCAUAGACUUGUUCUGACAGGUUUUCUGUUUGGUUGGCUUUGGUUUUGAGUUGCUAGGGGUCAUAACCAGAACCUUGGACUGGGAAUGGUGGCAUGUCUUUAAUCCCAUCACUCUCUGAGCUGCAGGCAAACUAAGGCUACAUGGUGAGGCCCGUGUCUCACUCAGCCACUGAGCUAUGUCCCCAAGACCCACUAAGUUUGUUCUAUAGAGACCCCGAGAUAACAGAUACUUCACCAAUCAGUUCUGCUGGUGCUGCGCAGCAUCAUCAGAGGCAGCACUCAGCAUCGUUGCAUUCACUGCAGCUGAUUCACAGUGCUGCUUCCCAGCUCUGAGCACAGGAGAGUGCUGCCUGCAGUCCAUGGUCUGCAGCACUAGCAGCCACUCAGGCAGCCAGCACUUGAGGACAUUGUGUCAAGUUGUCCACAGGGCUGCAAGGAGAUUGUGGGUCUCAGCUGUGAAAGACUUGGACCUAUUAUUUGAUCCAUCUCUUGACCAUCCAGUUGACUGGAAAUUUGCAUACAUGUAUGUAAUAAAGAAUGUGGGUUUAUAGAUCACUGAUGCUUUUUUUUUUUUUUUUUUUCUGGAAAAAAAUGAAACUUGGGUUUGGAUGGUCAGGAUGAACUGGAAACAUUCCUAUUCCAGGAUAGGGAACUUGGUUUGCACUGUGGAGACUUGGCCUGAGCUGUGUUCUGCUGUGUGCACUUCUGGUGGGACUGCUUAUCUUCUUCUUUAUGGCGUUGUUGGGGGUGAUAGCCACUAAUUCUCAGGAUUCCUUCUUAUCUCUCUCUGUGUGUGUGUGUGUGUGUGUGUGUGUGUGUGGUUUCAUGGAACUCUGUGCUCUUUCUGUGCUCACAUCUGGAUACAAUAGACGAUUAUGAGGAUUCACCAGCUCUUUUGUGUUUACCUUUUCUACAUGUUAAGCUCUGCAGUAGCUUUGAAACUGUAAUUUAUUUUUGUAUCACAUGCACUAUAUUCAGUGACUUCCUGUUGUAUGUAUUAGAAGCACUGCAGUGAACUGUGAGUUGUCUGUACACUGAACAAGAACUCUAGGUAUGACCCAUUGCAAUAAAACUUCCAUGAGAGUUC
rnacentral:lncRNA from 1 species